AGCGAACGCUGGCGGCAGGCCUAACACAUGCAAGUCGAACGAACUCUUCGGAGUUAGUUGCGGACGGGUGAGUAACACGUGGGAACGUGCCUUUUGGUUCGGAAUAACUCAGGGAAAUUUUUGCUAAUACCGAAUGUGCCCUUCUGGGGAAAGAUUUAUCGCCUUUAUAGCGGCCCGCGUCUGUUUAGCUAGUUGGUGAGGUAACGGCUCACCAAGGCGACGAUCAGUAGCUGGUCUGAGAGGAUGACCAGCCACACUGGGACUGAGACACGGCCCAGACUACUACGGGAGGAAGCAGUGGGGAAUCUUGCGCAAUGGGCGAAAGCCUGACGCAGCCAUGCCGCGUGAAUGAUGAAGGUCUUAGGAUUGUAAAAUUCUUUCACCGGGGACGAUAAUGACGGUACCCGGAGAAGAAGCCCCGGCUAACUUCGUG
rnacentral:rRNA from 1 species